AGUGAACGCUGGCGGUAGGCCUAACACAUGCAAGUCGAACGGCAGCACAGUAAGAGCUUGCUCUUACGGGUGGCGAGUGGCGGACGGGUGAGGAAUACAUCGGAAUCUACUUUUUCGUGGGGGAUAACGUAGGGAAACUUACGCUAAUACCGCAUACGACCUACGGGUGAAAGCAGGGGAUAUUCGGACCUUGCGCGAGUGAAUGAGCCGAUGUCGGAUUAGCUAGUUGGCGGGGUAAAGGCCCACCAAGGCGACGAACCGUAGCUGGUCUGAGAGGAUGAUCAGCCACACUGGAACUGAGACACGGUCCAGACUCCUACGGGAGGCAGCAGUGGGGAAUAUUGGACAAUGGGCGCAAGCCUGAUCCAGCCAUACCGCGUGGGUGAAGAAGGCCUUCGGGUUUUAAAGCCCUUUUGUUGGGAAAGAAAAGCAGCAGGUUAAUACCCCGCUGUUCUGACGGUACCCAAAGAAUAAGCACCGGCUAACUUCGUG
rnacentral:rRNA from 1 species